rnacentral:rRNA from 1 species
GGAUGCGAUCGUACCAGCACUAAAGCACCGGAUCCCAUCAGAACUCUGAAGUUAAGAGUGCUUGGGCGAGAGUAGUACUAGGAUGGUGACCUCCUGGGAAGUCCUCGUGUUGCAUUCC